GAUGAAGAACGUAGUGAAAUGCGAUAAUUAAUGUGAAUUGCAGAAUUCAGUGAAUCAUCGAGUCUUUGAACGCACAUUGCGCCCCCUGGUAUUCCGGGGGGCAUGCCUGUCCGAGCGUCAUUGCUGCCUCAAGCACGGCUUGUGUGUUGGGCUUCCGUCCCUGGCAACGGGGACGGGCCCAAAAGGCAGUGGCGGCACCAUGUCUGGUCCUCGAGCGUAUGGGGCUUUGUCACCCGCUCCCGUAGGUCCAGCUGGCAGCUAGCCUCGCAACCAAUCUUUUUAACCAGGUUGACCUCGGAUCAGGUAGGGAUACCCGCUGAACUUAAGCAUAUCAAUAAGCGGAGGA
rnacentral:misc_RNA from 1 species